rnacentral:piRNA from 1 species
UUCUUGCAAGUAUCUUCUGAGAGCACAAA